UUGGACAUUGUUGAUCAAGAAAAUUUUUUUGAAAUUUGAAUUUGGAAGAUUUCGAAAGCUUUCAGUUCUUGACAUUGCCAAGUGUAUCAUUUUACUGAUAUCUUGAACGUCAUGUGGAUUUUUUGGUGACCGAAAAUUUUGCAGAAAACUAUUUUAGGGUUUGAAGAUGUGUGAUUGACAUAAAUUGAUCAUGGAGAUUUCGAGUUGUCGCUGUAUUAUUCAUCUGUGAAAUGGCACUUGCUGAUUUCGUCGAUCAAAUGCCUCUGUCUUCAAAAUGAUAGUCGUUCACUGCUUUGAGAUUAUUUGAUCUACUGAUGAAACCCCAGGCAUCAUUGAAGAACAAUAAAGCGACAUAGUGCAGAAUGUAGUACAGCAAGGGCGAUCGAAUAGACGGAGCGUCGCUCGAAAAGGUUACAAGGACUUCUAAAUGUUGAUG